AUGGAUGAUUUAAAGUAAAAGAAUGAUGGAGAAUUAUGUUGUUAAUGUAACAUAAUUUUGUACAAAAUUAUGUAUAAUUGUUGUUGUCGUGUUAAACUAAUGCCCAAAUGUCAAGCAUUUAUAGUGCAUUAUAUGAACCUUCACAUGAGAGAAAACACCCAUUUGACUUGAAUCAAUGUUAUGGUUCAUUAAACACACUUUUGUCAAAUGUUAUGAUCAUCAUAUACACUUGAAUUAAUGUUAAGGUUCAUUAAUACCCUUUUGUCAAAGAUCAUGAUUAUAUACACUUGAAUUAAUGUUAAGGUUCAUUAAUAUCUUUUUAGCACACUUGUAGUUAUUUGAGAAGUGAAGAUACAGUUAAGCUAAAAAUUGCUUCAAAUAUGGGACUGCAUAAAGAAGAAUAUGAUUUUAUGAAUACUACAAAAAAAAUGUUGGAGUCCCAAGCAUCAAAUUAAAGUAUAAAAAACACAUGAAUCAAAUAACAAUCAUUUUAGUGAAUAUUUGAUUAAUGUUAUAGAGAAAGAAUAAAAACUUUAAAUUAAAACAAAGUUUUAACAAACAAUAAAAUACGAUUAGAUAUAAACAUUAAUUAAAUACAAAGAUAAUAUACUAUCACAUACAUCAUAAGAUUAUAAAAAUGAUAUAAAUGCAGAAAUAUUUUAAAGAAAAUAAUAGAUGGAUAAAAAUAUGAUCAAUUCAAUAAAUAAUUUAUUUGUGUUAUAAAAUUGAAAGUUCAAUACCUAUUUAUAAUAAAGACAAAUAUUAACAAGUGUUCGAUAUACCUGUGGUACUUCAGCGAUUUGAUAUGUACGAUAAAUAAUUAAUUUUUAAAGAAGAUCUUCAUCUAACCCAUCAUCCUUGCCUUCAUCUUUUUUUUUUUGACAAGAUAUUUGCCUUCAUCUUUAUUGAGCGUAGAUCUUAACUUUACCCAAAACUAAAAACAUAGUCGAUCCUAUAAAAUUGUAAGAUCAAAACUACUAUCGAAAUCAUUUGUACUAUUGUUAAGAGACUCGAUUUGCUCUUCAAUUUGUAAACCAAAUCAUAGAUUUAGUAAUCGAUAAAUCGUUUAAGCGAUGAGUUGUUGUAUAAGAACAAAGAAUACACAACAACACUGGAAACAAAUAACAAAUGAUACAAAGAGCUGAUAAAAAAAAUAUAUAUAAAUUGGAAAUCAAAAUCGAGAAAUAAAG
rnacentral:lncRNA from 1 species